CUAUGUGGCAGCAGAUUUGGCAGACGGUGCGCCAUAAACUGGGUAACAGGCUGAAGACACCUCACUCCCCCCUGGCUGACCCCCCUGCCAUCAAGGAGCUGCUGAAAGCUGAGAUCCAACUGCUGCUGGCGACCGUGAGGGAGAGAGCAGCCUUGGAGGGCAGGGAUGGAGAUGCAGACAUAUUCCGGUACAGUCCUAGUGUGGUGAAUUACGCCUUGGGAGACACAAGCUGAAUGUCACCCACAUAGAUGAUGUUGUGGCCCACCUCAAAUCAGUUCUGACUGAAGAAUGCGAGGUGCUGAAAAGCCAAGUGCACUUUCUGCAGGAGAGUGUAGAACAGGAACACCGUACACAGUGUGAUGUCACUGAGGCUCCAGAGCCAACUGUAACAGAGCUGAAGGAGGAGAGGAGAGCCAUCCAGUUGGAUCUGAAGAAGCAGAGCCUCAGCCUCACCUACUGUCCCUCCUCCCCUGUUGAAACAAGCCUGCAGAGCAGAUCCGGGUCGAUUGGAUGGACAGGUUUGUCUGCGGAUGAGACACAGAGACACUUGACCCCUGUGGUGGCCCCCAGACUGCAUCAUCCACAUACCAGGCCCAGUCCACCACUAGUAGUACAUCUAGUAAGGAGGACUCCUCUGUUAGACAGGAUGAGAGGCCAACCAUGCAGCUCACCCAACACCAGAGUAUCCAGCCCUCUCCAACCCUCUGAACAUAAACAUCCAAGGACUCACAGCCAGAGCUCUGAGGCUUCCCACCCCUGCAACAGAGAACCCAUCACCACCGCUCAAGCCAGGGACAGCUACCUACCUACCGCCCCUGGUCCCCUCUGCUAACACAGUAACCACCCAUGGAUCCUACCUCAACCCUGCCUCAGAACAGAGAAUAAAGGGCAGAACUUGCAGGCCUAGUGGUCAGCCUGUGACUGUGAGAGCUCAAAGACAUGAUGACUCAUGGUCAGACUCAGUGAACAGCUGGCCCUUGUUGUUCCCUGGUGAACACAGUCCUCUAGGCUCCUCCACACAGCCUCCGGGGAGCAAAGGGAGCUGUGAGCAGAUGAGCCCUGUAAGCAUGUUCCACCCUGUUCCCCCCGCAGUACAGAGGCCAGCCAGUAGAGGGCCGAGUGGGGCCAGGCACCUGUGUCUGCCGCAGCAGGGGGACAGUCUGGUUAGCUCCUCGUAAACUGAACUCUUUACAACAGAAUAAGAGGAUAGUGAGUCUCUGAUACUGUCAUGUAUGUUCUACCUGCAGUCUGGUCCUAAAAGGAGACAAGUCUCUCAUCAGAGGUCAAUAAUACUCAUACUUGUAAAAGGGAUGUCGUAAUCUCUUUAAUAUAAAGUAAUACAGUAACCCUAGUCUUCCACAAUGAGCCAAGAGACACAGGGAUGUUAUAUUGUCCUUUUCUAGAGACUGAUAGAAGACCUGAAAGUGAACACAUGACACAAAUAUGGUUGGAUGCUUUCGAAAUGUGUCAAAUUUGAUCUACCUAAUUUAACCAUUUAAUGAAUGUAUUUUGAAGUAAAUAAAUGCGACUGUAUUUGGAUAAAUAAAUGUUCAUAUUCCUGUAAUACAUGGUUUAUUAACUGUUCAGAAAGACAAAACACAAAUGGGACAUGAACCACACUUGAGUGAUCUUUAAAAUAGAUUUUAUUUACCAUUUGUAAUGGCACAGUUUACGAUAUACAGCUGACAUGACUAAGACAAUUCAAUGGAUUUUGGCCCUAAGGUUCAAGAGACAUGGUUAGAUAUAUAUGAGAAA